UAGGGAAUCUUCCGCAAUGGACGAAAGUCUGACGGAGCAACGCCGCGUGAGUGAAGAAGGAUUUCGGUUCGUAAAACUCUGUUGUUAGGGAAGAAAAAAUGUAUAGUAACUAUAUACAAAAGAGACGGUACCUAACCAGAAAGCCACGGCUAAUUACGUGCCAGCAGCCGCGGUAAUACGUAAGGGGCGAGCGUUGUCCGGAAUUAUUGGGCGUAAAGAGUGCGUAGGCGGCAAAUUAAGUCAGAUGUGAAAACUAAGGGCUCAACCCAUAGAUUGCAUCUGAAACUGAUAUGCUUGAGUCAAGGAGAGGAAAGUGGAAUUCCUAGUGUAGCGGUGGAAUGCGUAGAUAUUAGGAGGAAUACCGGUGGCGAAGGCGACUUUCUGGACUUGAACUGACGCUGAGGCACGAAAGCGUGGGGAGCAAACAGG
rnacentral:rRNA from 1 species